AACGUAGGAGACGAGCGUUAUCCGGAAUUACUGGGCGUAAAGCGCGUGUAGGCGGUUGAGUAAGUUCGUCGUGAAAGCUUCCGGCUAAACUGGAAGAGGUCGAUGGAUACUGCUCGGCUGGAGUGAGGGAGAGGCAGGUGGAAUUCCGGGUGUAGUGGUGAAAUGCGUAGAGAUCCGGAGGAACACCAGUGGCGAAGGCGGCCUGCUGGUCCUCAACUGACGCUGAGACGCGAAAGCAUGGGGAGCGAACGGG
rnacentral:rRNA from 1 species